UGGGGAAUAUUGCACAAUGGGCGGAAGCCUGAUGCAGCAACGCCGCGUGAGGGAUGACGGCCUUCGGGUUGUAAACCUCUUUUAGCAGGGAAGAAGCGAGAGUGACGGUACCUGCAGAAAAAGCGCCGGCUAACUACGUGCCAGCAGCCGCGGUAAUACGUAGGGCGCAAGCGUUAUCCGGAAUUAUUGGGCGUAAAGAGCUCGUAGGCGGUUUGUCGCGUCUGCUGUGAAAUCCCGAGGCUCAACCUCGGGCCUGCAGUGGGUACGGGCAGACUAGAGUGCGGUAGGGGAGAUUGGAAUUCCUGGUGUAGCGGUGGAAUGCGCAGAUAUCAGGAGGAACACCGAUGGCGAAGGCAGAUCUCUGGGCCGUAACUGACGCUGAGGAGCGAAAGGGUGGGGAGCAAACA
rnacentral:rRNA from 1 species